rnacentral:tRNA from 3 species
GGAAGCUUAGCUCACUCGGUAGAGCGGCCCCCUUACAAGGGGCAGGUAGUCAGUUCGAUACUGACAGCUUCCACCA